GGCUACAUCACAUUGAAAAACCAGUUCCUAUAAGAUCAACCAAGUUAAGCAACAUUGAGCCUGGUCAAUACCUAGAUGGGUGGCCACUUGGGAAUAUCAGAUGUUGUAAG